rnacentral:rRNA from 1 species
GGAGGGAGCGAGCGUUGUUCGGAAUCACUGGGCGUAAAGGGCGCGUAGGCGGCCGAGUAAGUCGUGUGUGAAAGACCGGGGCUCAACUCCGUGUACUGCAUGCGAUACUGCCCGGCUAGAGAAAGGUAGAGGCGAGUGGAAUUCCCGGUGUAGCGGUGGAAUGCGUAGAUAUCGGGAAGAACACCUGUGGCGAAGGCGGCUCGCUGGGCCUUUUCUGACGCUGAAGUGCGAAAGCGUGGGGAGCAAACAGGAUUAGAUACCCUGGUAGUCCACGCCGUAAACGAUGGGCACUAGGCGUUGGGAGGAUUGACCCUCUCAGUGCCGUAGCUAACGCGUUAAGUGCCCCCGCCUGGGGAGUACGGCCGCAAGGCUG